rnacentral:lncRNA from 1 species
CCUGGCUUAGGACCCCCAUCGCGGAUCCUAAGAUCCUUAGGACCCAACUGGAGGACUGUGGGUAUUAGGUGCCCAAGAAGAAAGCUCAGAUCUGCCGACGUUACUUGGGAUUUACUAUCCGACAGGUGUCCGAACACAGCUCGAGAUCAGAAAGAAAGCAGGGGUCCGAACGCAGCCCGGGAUCAGGAAGAAAGCAGGUCGUUUGCAAUCUACCGGAGCCUAAGGGCAGAAGGCAGGGGUCCGAAUGCAGCCCGGGAUCACAAAGAAAGCAGGUCGUUUGCAAUCUACCAGAGCCUAAGGGCAGAAGGCAGGAUAUUAAUAACAAUUUCACAGGCUGGGUGAACACAGCCGGCGAUGCUGAAAUUAUUAUCAUCCUCUCCCCCUCUUCCCCUCCUGGCUCUCAGUCCCCGCCUCACGGGUUAUGUAGCGGGUUAUGGCAAGAAGACAAACUGCAGUUUCCUGCACAGAACAGCACAAACAAUGAUCCAAGCUCAGUUACAACACAAUAUUGGUCAUCAUUUGACCAUGGACUUCAAUAUCAACCCUUAGAAACCUUCCUAAAACAGGUCAGCAAAACACCAAGAAGCAAUAUCCUGAAUGAUAGGAAAAUAUCCUUGCUUGUGCAAAUUGUUUCCACUUAAUUUUUUUCAACAAAUGUUAAUUAUAUUUUUACUUUCUAAAAAUUUUUAAUAAAAUAUAGCCUACUUGGUUAAAAAUGGUGUCAAAGCUUUUCUAAAAGUUAAGGCAUUACAUAAUUCAGUGGCCCCUGUGGCUGCCAUGGAUAAUUCUUUUUUUUCUGUUCAUCUUCAAAGAAGGG